AGAGUUUGAUCCUGGCUCAGGACGAACGCUGGCGGCGUGCCUAAUACAUGCAAGUCGAACGCUUCUUUUUCCACCGGAGCUUGCUCCACCGGAAAAAGAGGAGUGGCGAACGGGUGAGUAACACGUGGGUAACCUGCCCAUCAGAAGGGGAUAACACUUGGAAACAGGUGCUAAUACCGUAUAACAAUCGAAACCGCAUGGUUUUGAUUUGAAAGGCGCUUUCGGGUGUCGCUGAUGGAUGGACCCGCGGUGCAUUAGCUAGUUGGUGAGGUAACGGCUCACCAAGGCGACGAUGCAUAGCCGACCUGAGAGGGUGAUCGGCCACAUUGGGACUGAGACACGGCCCAAACUCCUACGGGAGGCAGCAGUAGGGAAUCUUCGGCAAUGGACGAAAGUCUGACCGAGCAACGCCGCGUGAGUGAAGAAGGUUUUCGGAUCGUAAAACUCUGUUGUUAGAGAAGAACAAGGAUGAGAGUAACUGUUCAUCCCUUGACGGUAUCUAACCAGAAAGCCACGGCUAACUACGUGCCAGCAGCCGCGGUAAUACGUAGGUGGCAAGCGUUGUCCGGAUUUAUUGGGCGUAAAGCGAGCGCAGGCGGUUUCUUAAGUCUGAUGUGAAAGCCCCCGGCUCAACCGGGGAGGGUCAUUGGAAACUGGGAGACUUGAGUGCAGAAGAGGAGAGUGGAAUUCCAUGUGUAGCGGUGAAAUGCGUAGAUAUAUGGAGGAACACCAGUGGCGAAGGCGGCUCUCUGGUCUGUAACUGACGCUGAGGCUCGAAAGCGUGGGGAGCAAACAGGAUUAGAUACCCUGGUAGUCCACGCCGUAAACGAUGAGUGCUAAGUGUUGGAGGGUUUCCGCCCUUCAGUGCUGCAGCUAACGCAUUAAGCACUCCGCCUGGGGAGUACGACCGCAAGGUUGAAACUCAAAGGAAUUGACGGGGGCCCGCACAAGCGGUGGAGCAUGUGGUUUAAUUCGAAGCAACGCGAAGAACCUUACCAGGUCUUGACAUCCUUUGACCACUCUAGAGAUAGAGCUUCCCCUUCGGGGGCAAAGUGACAGGUGGUGCAUGGUUGUCGUCAGCUCGUGUCGUGAGAUGUUGGGUUAAGUCCCGCAACGAGCGCAACCCUUAUUGUUAGUUGCCAUCAUUUAGUUGGGCACUCUAGCAAGACUGCCGGUGACAAACCGGAGGAAGGUGGGGAUGACGUCAAAUCAUCAUGCCCCUUAUGACCUGGGCUACACACGUGCUACAAUGGGAAGUACAACGAGUCGCAAAGUCGCGAGGCUAAGCUAAUCUCUUAAAGCUUCUCUCAGUUCGGAUUGUAGGCUGCAACUCGCCUACAUGAAGCCGGAAUCGCUAGUAAUCGCGGAUCAGCACGCCGCGGUGAAUACGUUCCCGGGCCUUGCACUCACCGCCCGUCAA
rnacentral:rRNA from 1 species